AGUGUAGGCGGCUACUUAAGUCGGAUGUGAAAUCCCCGGGCUCAACCUGGGAAUUGCAUUCGAUACUGGGUAGCUAGAAUUUGGUAGAGGUAAGUGGAAUUCCGGGUGUAGCGGUGAAAUGCGUAGAUAUCCGGAGGAACAUCAGUGGCGAAGGCGGCUUACUGGACCAAAUUGACGCUGAGGCUCGAAGGCGUGGGGAGCAAACA
rnacentral:rRNA from 1 species